CCUACGGGAGGCAGCAGUAAGGAAUUUUGCACAAUGGGCGAAAGCCUGAUGCAGCAACGCCGCGUGGACGAUGAAGGCCUUCGGGUCGUAAAGUCCUUUUCAGAGGGAAGAAACGGACGGUACCUCUGGAAUAAGCCUCGGCUAACUACGUGCCAGCAGCCGCGGUAAUACGUAGGAGGCGAGCGUUAUCCGGAUUUACUGGGCGUAAAGAGCGCGUAGGCGGUUCCGUAAGUUGGGCGUGAAAGCCCCCGGCUUAACUGGGGAGGGUCGUUCAAUACUGCGGGACUUGAGGGCAGACGAGGAGACUGGAAUUCCCGGUGUAGUGGUGAAAUGCGUAGAUAUCGGGAGGAACACCCGUGGCGAAGGCGGCUCCCUGGAUUGCGACUGACGCUGAGGCGCGAAAGCUAGGGGAGCAAACAGGAUUAGAUCCCCCGGUAGU
rnacentral:rRNA from 1 species